rnacentral:lncRNA from 1 species
AACCUUAUAAAGGGACAUGGAAGCAUUCUUAGAGAACUUAACAAUGCAACUUGGUCUAGUAUCUAGCCAAUUAGCAUUAAAACUGAGCCCCUAGUAGGGAGUUCGAUGGGAAAAUUUUAGAUAUCCCAAAGAUAAGAAAAUUGAAAUAGAAUUCAAACAGGAAUGCGAGUUCGUUAAUGAAGGAGGAAUUGAAAAAGAGAAAAAAGAAAA